GGGGAGACGGCGCCCUCCUCCCGCCCCAUCCGCGGCGGGACACCCGGCAGUCCCCGAGUGAAGCGGGUGGAGCCCGCGCCCUGCUGGGACGGAGCGCGUUUGCGGAAUGUCAGUUAAGAAAGGCUGCCCCUGCGUGGCCCUUGUGCGCGUCGGGACAACCCUAUGGUCAGCCCGGGUCCCAGUGGGCAGCCGGGAAGCUACGAGCUCGCUUUAGGGGGGAAGGCCACUUGGAUGUUCACAUGGUGGCGCACAGAGAGGUUUUGAGCCUUUGGAGUCCAGUGCCAUUGCCUGCCCCCCAAAGGGCUCCUUGACACUUUGCACUAUGCUGCCCACGGCCCAGUGGCCCAGAAAAGGUGGUCUACACCCAGGUGGGCCUCUCCCACCAAAGAGAAGGCCUAGGGAAGUUUCCCUGCACCUCUUGGGCACCUGACUGCAGGUCACUGGUGUGCUUCAGAUCCUGUUUGGAGGCCAAGCAGAAAUAAAACCACUUCUCCCAGAAAUGGGUUUCUGUGUCUAGUUUCUUCACCAGAAGAUGGAUAUGAAGCUGUCUGUCUCACUGGGUGCAUGUUGAGGAUAGCUCAGGCCUUCAGGAAACAUACUGACCAUCUGCCAGAUGGCGUUGUGUCAGGCACCAUAGGCUGAGCCCUGAUGUAGACCCUGCCCAACGGCCGUCACACAUCUCAUGCUCACAGGGCCCUCCCAGGGAGGAGCAGGAGGUGAGGACGCCUGAGAGUGUGGAGGAGGUGGGGUGACAUGAUCAUUUUCUGACUGGGAAGGUGAGUGGGGUAUAGCAGAGGACGUGACAGAUGCUGCCAGCCGUGGGAUGGGAACUGCACACCGUGAGGCUUGGGUUCCCCCAAACCCGGAGUCUGCACACCACACAGUCUUCCCUGAGGAGCAGGUCAGUUCCACGAAAUGGGCCUGUGGACGUCCAGGGGCAGGCAACAAGGUAUUUUUUGUCUUCCUAGGGCAGAAAAAUCUGGCGUCUCCCCUUGCUCUGUACGGUACUGAAAUGCUGAGAUGAAGGGAUGUUUCUCUUUGCAGAUCUGGUGACCCGUCCUCUGUAUCACAUGCAUUAGAGGAUAGAACAUGUAGUAAUAUCCAUAGCACCAUGGCCCCCAUUCUGAGUGGAUCUUUAUCCACUCUCUUCCGUAAGUGCCUUGUGAACUUUUACACUCCUCAGUUUCUGCCACACGUCCUUAUGUUUCCAUCAGUUCAUUCUCCUGCUGCUGAAACACCUGGAUUUUGCUCCAGACGUGAGUCCUGAGUUCCUCAAGUGCUUUCCUUUCCCUUGUACACACAGUGCACCUGCCUCAGAGAUUUACUUAUAUGAUGGCUUCUGGCACUUCCAACUUUGCCACCUCAGGGAAGGCCAUCCUGGAGUGUGGUGUGGUUCCUGGGCACAUAGGGUCUGUUCCUAUGGUCAUAAUGUUCAGUGCUAUCAAUGUGACCUCAUUUGGAAGUAGGAUCUUUCAGGUGUGCCCAGGUUAAGAGGAGAGUUAUGCUGAAUGAGUGAGCCCUGAAUCUAAUGAUGCCGUACAGGUCGGUUACUUGGGGCACCCAGCGGGCUCGGUGGUGGGACCUCCCCCUCCAUCUUGGAGUCACGGUUCCAGCCCCACGUUGGAAAUAGAGAUAUUAAACUAAAAUAUUUUACGUUCAUUUAUCUCUUUAUUAAUCUCUACACCCAGUGUAGGCUUCAACUCACUACCCAAUGUGAAUAGGUGCUCUUCCAACUCAGCCACACAGGCGCCUACAAGCUAACAUCUUAGAAAACAAGUCAGUAGUCUGUGUAGACAGACACACAGGUGGAGGUGGGAGGAACCCUGCAUGGCUGGUCAUCCUCAGGGGUUAGGAAAUGAAGAGGAAGGACCUGUCCCUGCGGCCUCCAUGUGAGGCCAGUCCUGCUGUGGCCUCUGUUUCUGACUCUGGAGCCUGGGACUUCUGUGCUGGCAGGUAACCCACAGAGUCCAGCCCCCAGGACACUGACCCAGCCUGGAAGGAACCUCCCUGCCCACAGCACCCAGGACACUGACCCAGCCUGGAAGGACCACCCCCCCAUACACACACUAUUCUCUUGCGGUGUGAUAAGAUUAUAUGCAGAGUCCUAUUCACAGUCUUAUUUUUUAAUGACACUGAAAAUUUGAGAAAGUUUGAGAUGAGCACGGGGAGAGGGAGAGGGAGAGGGAGAGGGAGAGGGAGAGUCCUAACAGCCCCGCCCCGCCCCGCCCCGGUGGGGGUCAAGAAGUCCCCUGCGGGGCUGCGCAGCCCCCACAGCGCCCCUGCUCACCGCAUCUUGUCUGUAAACAAGGCUCUCCAUAAACAAGGCCCUCGGAAGAGUCCUGUCCGAGGUCACCGCGGGCUCUCUCCCGCUGUCUGCCUUCCUUCCCAGGGCCGCACCUGACUCAGGCUCCCCACCCUGCGCUCUGUCCGCCUGCGUGGAGAGCCAUCCUUGGCCCGCUGAGGGCACGGCCGCGGAGCUGCUCCCUCGCGUGUGCAGGGAUUCCGAGCCGUUGGGCGGGUCAGCUCGCGGGGGGGCGGGGACCUGAAACCCUCCGAUGCAAACCACAAGGCCGUCGACGGAGGGACAAUGAGGGACAGCGUGCAGGUCAGCGUUUCCUGGGCCUUGUUGCCUGCCCCUGGACAAGCCCCGCGCCUCCCCCGCCUCCCCUUCCUCUGCGGGAAGAAGGUAGCCUGCUGCAGGCCAGGAUUCUCUCCACCAGCACCGCCUCUCAGGCCUCCGGGAGCAGCUUCUCAAGCACACCUGGUCUGGUGGGCAUCCAGGGUCAUCUUCGCACUGUCCCACUUUGGCAGUGGCAUGUGAUGUAGGAAAAGACAUCAGGGUUUGGAGCCGAGAGCCAAGAAUGAAUUCUUGAGGCGUCUUUGCUGCAAAAAGGUGGUUUUAUUAAAGCCCGGGGACAGGACCUGUGGGCAGAGAGCUGCACUGGGGUCAGGAGGAGUGGCUGGUUAUAGACUCUCAGGUCAGGAGGGGUCAGGGAGAGUGUGGGUCUCUAAGGAAUUUGGAAGCACAGUCUCCAGGACCCUGAGGGGCCAGCUGCUGUUGGGAAAGGUCACUAAUAAAACCCGAGUCAUGAGUCCCUUCAGCUGUGUAUUGGUGGGCCAUGUGCUUGGGGGACGAUCAUGACAUGGAUGUUGGGGUUGAGACAUAAAGGAAGUUUUCAAGGGAAUGUUUAUAUGUUAGAGCAGACUCACAGGGUCCUGGGGUCGGGCUCAGAUUGCCUGUUGCCCUCAGCAGAGUGUCCACAUGGAGGCAGCUGGGUCUCUGAAGGAGGUUCCCUCCACCUGGUUCAAGGACCCAUCGAUGGGUGGUGGGCGCUUAGCAACUUUAACAACUUCCCUCCGGCCUUCAGUUCCUUCAGUUUAGCAGCCAUGCAUCUUUUAACCAGGUGGGGUGUCAAUGAAGGCUUCUUGCAAGGCUGAGAGGAUCCUGACAAGUAUCCUUCAGUUAGCACUUCGGGAAAGCCAGGAAGAAGAAGGGGGGGCGUUGCUGGCAUGACAAGGAAACAGGUUGUGGAGACAACUGCCACUCCACUGUCGUCGAAUCCAGUAGUCACCCAUGGGGGUCCCCGUACUUCUCAGCCACCAACAGGUUGUGCAAAGGCCACGUCAGGUGAAAACUCACCGCUGGGCAAUGUGUAGGGAAGCAAGACCUCGCAGGCCUGUCGUAGCAACUUCCUGUGAAGCCUGCACUGCAGGCUCAGCUCACCCAAAAUACUAAGAGCUAGAAUUCUGCUCCUGUAAGGUGGCCAGGUCCCUGCGCUGGCCACACCACUGGCCCUAAGGGGACUCCCAGGCUGUAGCAGGAGGGACAGCAGCAGCAAGUGUCAGGGACUGGCUUGGGGCACAGCCUUUUUCCAUGGUUCCCUGGGGUGCAGUGCUCCUUUGCAUUCUUAUUGUUUUCCUUGCGGGAGGUUAGGAUUUACUUGUAUCCUUCACAUCACACACACACACACACACACACACACACACACACACACACACACACCCUGCAUGUCCCAGGGUCAGUUUCGUACACCUAUGACGCUUUAAUUUCCUUAAAAAGUUGUAUUUUUUAAUUUGCUGCUUCUACUGACACAGAGUGAACGCCAUGAUAAAUCCUCACAGAUUAUCCAAGUAUCAACAUCCUGAAUUGUGGAAACCAAGGCCCAGAAAAGUUAAGGAGCCCCAGGGCAUUCGAGGAAUUUCUGGGGACACGCCAUGGACUUGAUUUCUCCAGGACUGCAGCCAGCUGGUCUCUGGAAUUCCAGAACCUUCCCUGUGCUGUUCUAGGGGGACUCAGGCACAUGGCUGUGCACUGCUGCACCUCCCACUGUCACCACCAGUCUCCGAGUCUAGUCUGGGCACCUGGCAGUGAGAAGGGCUGGCUCAGGCUCCAGCAGCACCCUCAGAGUGGUGGCCUCAGGAGUCCCAGGCAGCUCCGGCCCUCCCCAGACAGGAGUGGGAGAGGCUUCGGGGAUGCACCUUCAUGUCCACAACGUCAGGCAGUUUAAGCAAGUGUGGAAGACAGAAGCCACAGGAAACCCUGAGCUCCUCCCCAGCAGUCUACGCGGAGUGUCCCCCAAUCCUGUGUCCUGAAGAAGUGGACUGCUGACCCUCCUCAGACCCUCCUGACGGGCAGUGCUGGGAGAGGCUGUCUCCGUUCUACCACCCACCACCAGGCAAGCCUCAAAAUGCAGGUUCAUGUGCUCCCAGGCCUAGGCCGACGUCUGUGCCCUACCCAGUGCCUGCGGGGGGGCGGGGGGGUGGAGUGCGUUAAUUCAGCAGCUCCAUAGGAGGUGCAGCUCUUACUGCUCCUCCUCCACCACGUGCUCUUCUAAAAUUAAGUUGGCAAAAAAAAAAUUAUAAUAAUAAAAUAAAAUAA